UACGGGGGGGGGCAAGCGUUGUUCGGAAUUACUGGGCGUAAAGGGCUUGUAGGUGGCCAACUAAGUCAGACGUGAAAUCCCUCGGCUUAACCGGGGAACUGCAUCCGAUACUGGAUGGCUUGAGUUCGGGAGAGGGAUGCGGAAUUCCAGGUGUAGCGGUGAAAUGCGUAGAUAUCUGGAGGAACACCGGUGGCGAAGGCGGCAUCCUGGACCGACACUGACGCUGAGGAGCGAAAGCCAGGGGAGCAAACGGG
rnacentral:rRNA from 1 species